GACGAACGCUGGCGGCGUGCCUAAUACAUGCAAGUCGAGCGCAGGAAAUCAUCCGAACCUUUCGGGGGGACGUUGAUGGAAUGAGCGGCGGACGGGUGAGUAACACGUAAAGAACCUGCCCUCAGGUCUGGGAUAACCACGAGAAAUCGGGGCUAAUACCGGAUGGGUCAUCGGACCGCAUGGUCCGAGGAUGAAAGGCGCUUCGGCGUCGCCUGGGGAUGGCUUUGCGGUGCAUUAGCUAGUUGGUGGGGUAAUGGCCCACCAAGGCGACGAUGCAUAGCCGACCUGAGAGGGUGAUCGGCCACACUGGGACUGGGACACGGCCCAGACUCCUACGGGAGGCAGCAGUAGGGAAUCUUCCACAAUGGACGAAAGUCUGAUGGAGCAACGCCGCGUGAACGAUGAAGGCCUUCGGGUCGUAAAGUUCUGUUGUAAGGGAAGAACAAGUGCCGCAGGCAAUGGCGGCACCUUGACGGCACCUUGCGAGAAAGCCACGGCUAACUACGUGCCAGCCGCCGCAGUAA
rnacentral:rRNA from 1 species